rnacentral:rRNA from 1 species
AUUGAACGCUGGCGGCAGGCCUAACACAUGCAAGUCGAACGCGUGGCGGACGGGUGAGUAAUGUCUGGGACACUCCCUGAUGGAGGGGGAUCACUACUGGAAACGGUAGCUAAUACCGCAUACCAUCGGAUGUCCCCAGAUGGGAUGAGCUAGUAGGUUGGGUAACGGCUCCCCUAGGCGACGAUCCCUCGCUGGUCUGAGAGGAGGACCAGCCACACUGGAACUGAGACACGGUCCAGACUCCUACGUGAGGCAGCAGUGGGGAAUAUUGCACAAUGGGCGCAAGCCUGAUGCAGCCAUGCCGCGUGUAUGAAGAAGGCCUUCGGGUUGUAAAGUACUUUCAGCGGGGAGGCGUGACCCGCAGAAGAAGCACCGGCUAACUCCGUGCCAGCAGCCGCGGUAAUAC